GAGUUGAGGUUGUUGUAGAGAGAUUGUCUUGAAAACAAUGAUGCUCAUUGAUUGGAAGUCUUCGCUAAUCCAGACAUCAAUCAAUGUUCACCGGCUCAACACAUCUUGAAACAAGGAGGGCUGUAUGAGCUAAGUGUGUUUGGUGCUACAAGAAGCAACCCAAAUUUCUGAUUUGGUGACACCCAUGUUUCUAUCCACCCCAUCCCGAGGAGAGCUUUCUGUUUCGCAAUUACGACCAACUCAUGCUCUUGGCUAUCACGAUCACAGUUUUUCGAGGUCAUGGAUGUUCUUUUACGUCGUGUUGUUCUAAAUGUGAACAUAAGCUCUAGGGAGAUAUUUCUUCUUUCACAUGCAUCGUCUGUGAUAAUACCAGUGCUGUG